GCUCGCUUGGCACAGUGGUAAUGCGCCUCACCAGUAUCUUGGAUUCUUCCGAGAAAGACAACGAGGAGACGACUGGUUCGAUUCCAGUAGCGAGCU
rnacentral:tRNA from 1 species